rnacentral:lncRNA from 1 species
AUGAUGAGGUACGAGCUCAUCAAAGUCGAUGGGAAGCCGGUCAGGGAUUCCACCGGGAAGAAGCUACUCUUGAGAGAUCAGUUGGGGAAUGAUGUAUUCAUUGAUGAGGCGCUCAUCUCUUUCGAACCUGAAGCUCCACAAGAAGCUCCCAAUUCAACUUUGCAAAAAAAAUCAGCAGAGACGAAACAAAAUGCAGAAGUUGAAGAGAAAUUUUGGAGCAGAAAUUUAGCAAAGCCCGAAGAGUUUAAUUCUCUCCCGGUCAAAAAUGUCCAAGAACUCCUCAUAAAAAUAUUCGGAGAUCCAAAAAUCCAACAAUUAUUUAAGGAUACCGUAACCCGUAAGAGUAAGGUUUGGGAGCUUGUAGCGGAAAGUUUGCAGAAAGCCGGAUACCCUUUGACACAAAAAGGACCAAGAUCACCCGGCAAACAAUGCGAUGAUAAAUGGAGACAGCUAAAAGCUCAGUAUUACAAACACAAGAAUCCCAAGACUGGGGAAGGGGCCAAAACUCCACUGCCUUACUAUGACCUAGUGGAUUCAAUCAUAGGAGAUGAUCAACUAACUUCACCCAAGCAUACCAGAGAUACACUGAACUCUUCAAACAAUUCUAGGAGCAGUGAAACAGCUGCAGCACCGUCUCCAAGUAACAGUGUCGAACAACCUCAACAGAACUUGUUUGGUGAGUCUGAUUCUGAGGAAGAUGCUGAUACACCUCCUGAUCCCCAAACUACGGCUGAGGUAGAUCAUGCAGGAUCAUCGAACUCUAAUAUUCACAAAGGUAGAGGUAAGAAACGUUUAAAACCUGUGACUGGCAAUCAAAGAGUCAUGAUUGAAAUGAUGGAAAAAAAGCAAAGAUGA